GAUCCUGGCUCAGAUUGAACGCUGGCGGAACGCUUUACACAUGCAAGUCGAACGGUAACGUGGGGAGGAGCUUGCUCCACCCCGACGACGAGUGGCGAACGGGUGAGUAAUACAUCGGAACGUGUCCGCUCGUGGGGGACAACCAGCCGAAAGGUUGGCUAAUACCGCAUGAGUCCUACGGAAGAAAGAGGGGGACCCGCAAGGGCCUCUCGCGAGCGGAGCGGCCGAUGACUGAUUAGCCCGUUGGUGAGGUAACGG
rnacentral:rRNA from 1 species